GCGAUUACCGUCGUCGUUGUGUCGGAAUUGAUGCGUUACGCGUUUGCGUUUGUAUCUCGUCGGUUUUUUUUUUUAAUAUUGUUGUUACGGUAGAACAACAAUAAUAAUGUUAUUAUAGGACCGUUAUAAUAUUUUAAUAUUAUUAGUGAUUUUGACGUUUGGAAUUUAAUAAUUUUUUUCAACUCGUCGAUAGCAUUAUAAUAAUAAUAAUAAUAAUAAUAAUAAUA